AUUGAACGCUGGCGGCAGGCUUAACACAUGCAAGUCGAGCGAGCGGCGGACGGGUGAGUAAUGUCUGGGAAACUGCCUGAUGUAGGGGGAUAACUACUGGAAACGGUAGCUAAUACCGCAUACCAUCAGAUGUGCCCAGAUGGGAUUAGCUAGUAGGUGGGGUAAUGGCUAACCAAGGCGACGAUCCCUAGCGGGUCUGAGAGGAUGACCAGCCAAAAGGGAACGGAGAAACGGUCAAGAAGCCUACGGGAGGCAGAAGUGGGGAAUAUUGCACAAUGGGCGCAAGCCUGAUGCAGCAAUGCCGCGUGUGUGAAGAAGGCCUUCGGGUUGUAAAGCACUUGCAGCGAGGAGGCGUUACUCGCAGAAGAAGCACCGGCUAACUCCGUGCCAGCAGCCGCGGUAAUAC
rnacentral:rRNA from 1 species